rnacentral:rRNA from 1 species
AGAGUUUGAUCCUGGCUCAGAACGAACGCUGGCGGCAUGCCUAACACAUGCAAGUCGAACGAGGGCUUCGGCCCUAGUGGCGCACGGGUGAGUAACGCGUGGGAACCUGCCCUGUGGUACGGAAUAACUCCGGGAAACUGGAGCUAAUACCGUAUGCGUCCUUUGGGACAAAGAUUUAUCGCCAUGGGAUGGGCCCGCGUAGGAUUAGCUUGUUGGUGGGGUAACGGCCUACCAAGGCUUCGAUCCUUAGCUGGUCUGAGAGGAUGAUCAGCCACACUGGGACUGAGACACGGCCCAGACUCCUACGGGAGGCAGCAGUGGGGAAUAUUGGACAAUGGGCGCAAGCCUGAUCCAGCAAUGCCGCGUGAGUGAUGAAGGCCUUCGGGUUGUAAAGCUCUUUCGCACGCGACGAUGAUGACGGUAGCGUGAGAAGAAGCCCCGGCUAACUUCGUGCCAGCAGCCGCGGUAAUACGAAGGGGGCUAGCGUUGUUCGGAAUUACUGGGCGUAAAGGGCGCGUAGGCGGUACUUCAAGUCAGGCGUGAAAGCCCCGGGCUCAACCUGGGAACCGCGCUUGAGACUGGAGAACUAGAGUUCGGGAGAGGAUGGUGGAAUUCCCAGUGUAGAGGUGAAAUUCGUAGAUAUUGGGAAGAACACCGAUGGCGAAGGCAGCCAUCUGGACCGACACUGACGCUGAGGCGCGAAAGCGUGGGGAGCAAACAGGAUUAGAUACCCUAGUAGUCC